rnacentral:rRNA from 1 species
AUUGAACGCUGGCGGCAGGCCUAACACAUGCAAGUCGAGCGGAGCGGCGGACGGGCGAGUAAUGCCUAUGUAUCUGCCUGGUAGUGGGGGAUAAAGUCCGGAAACGGGCGCUAAUACCGCAUAUUAUCAGAUGAGUCUCGGCCGGAUUAGCUAGUUGGUGGGGUAAAGGCCUACCAAGGCGACGAUCCGUAACUGGUCUGAGAGGAUGAUCAGUCACACGGGAACUGAGACACGGUCCAGACUCCUACGGGAGGCAGCAGUGGGGAAUAUUGGACAAUGGGCGAAAGCCUGAUCCAGCCAUGCCGCGUGUGUGAAGAAGGUCUUCGGAUUGUAAAGCACUUUAAGUUGGGAGGCGUUACCGACAGAAUAAGCACCGGCUAACUUCGUGCCAGCAGCCGCGGUAAUAC